rnacentral:rRNA from 1 species
GACAGAGGGGGCAAGCGUUGCUCGGAAUCACUGGGCGUAAAGGGCGCGUAGGCGGUUUGUCGCGUCGGCCGUGAGAUCUCCACGCUUAACGUGGAGCGUGCGGUCGAUACGGGCAGACUUGAGUUCGGUAGGGGAGACUGGAAUUCCUGGUGUAGCGGUGAAAUGCGCAGAUAUCAGGAGGAACACCGGUGGCGAAGGCGGGUCUCUGGGCCGAUACUGACGCUGAGGAGCGAAAGCGUGGGGAGCGAACAGC